rnacentral:rRNA from 1 species
GGGGGUUAGAAUUUCAGGUGUAGCGGGUGAAAUGCGUAGAGAUCUGAAGGGAAUACCCGGUGGCGAAGGCGGCCCCCCUGGACAGAUACUGACACUCAGAUGCGAAAGCGUGGGGAGCAAACAGGAUUAGAUACCCUGGUAGUGCACGCCGUAAAACGAUGUCUACUUGGAGGUUGUGGCCCUUGAGCCGUGGCUUUCGGAGCUAACGCGUUAAGUAGACCGCCUGGGGAGUACGGUCGCAAGAUUAAAACUCAAAUGAAUUGACGGGGGCCCGCACAAGCGGUGGAGCAUGUGGUUUAAUUCGAUGCAACGCGAAGAACCUUACCUACUCUUGACAUCCAGAGAACUUUCCAGAGAUGGAUUGGUGCCUUCGGGAACUCUGAGACAGGUGCUGCAUGGCUGUCGUCAGCUCGUGUUGUGAAAUGUUGGGUUAAGUCCCGCAACGAGCGCAACCCUUAUCCUUGUUUGCCAGCGAGUAAUGUCGGGAACUCCAGGGAGACUGCCGGUGAUAAACCGGAGGAAGGUGGGGACGACGUCAAGUCAUCAUGGCCCUUACGAGUAGGGCUACACACGUGCUACAAUGGCGCAUACAGAGGGCGGCCAACUUGCGAAAGUGAGCGAAUCCCAAAAAGUGCGUCGUAGUCCGGAUUGGAGUCUGCAACUCGACUCCAUGAAGUCGGAAUCGCUAGUAAUCGUGGAUCAGAAUGCCACGGUGAAUACGUUCCCGGGCCUUGUACACACCGCCCGUCACACCAUGGGAGUGGGCUGCAAAAGAAGUAGGUAGUUAACCUCGGGGGGACGCU